UGAGGAAUAUUGGUCAAUGGGCGGAAGCCUGAACCAGCCAUGCCGCGUGCAGGAAGGAGGCCCUACGGGUUGUAAACUGCUUUUACCCGGGAAGAAACCGCCCCCUGUGGGGGGCGUUGCCGGUACCGGGGGAAAAAGGAUCGGCUAACUCCGUGCCAGCAGCCGCGGUAAUACGGAGGAUCCGGGCGUUAUCCGGAAUUACUGGGUUUAAAGGGUGCGUAGGCGGGGCUUUAAGCCGGCGGUGAAAUGCAGCGGCUCAACCGCUGGAAUGCCGUUGGGACUGGGGCUCUUGGAUACGGUCGGGGCGGGUGGAACUCGUGGUGUAGCGGUGAAAUGCAUAGAUAUCACGAGGAACGCCGGUAGCGAAGGCAGCUCGCCGGGCCGGUAUUGACGCUGAGGCACGAAAGCGUGGGGAUCGAACAGG
rnacentral:rRNA from 3 species